UACGGAGGAUCCAAGCGUUAUCCGGAUUUAUUGGGUUUAAAGGGUGCGUAGGCGGCCUAUUAAGUCAGGGGUGAAAGACGGUAGCUUAACUAUCGCAGUGCCCUUGAUACUGAUGGGCUUGAAUAUACUAGAGGUAGGCGGAAUGUGACAAGUAGCAGUGAAAUGCAUAGAUAUGUCACAGAACACCAAUUGCGAAGGCAGCUUACUAUGGUAUUAUUGACGCUGAGGCACGAAAGCGUGGGGAUCAAACAGG
rnacentral:rRNA from 1 species